rnacentral:rRNA from 1 species
UACGGGGGGGGCAAGCGUUGUUCGGAAUUACUGGGCGUAAAGCGAGUGUAGGCGGUUUGAUAAGUCGGAUGUGAAAGCCCUGGGCUCAACCCAGGAAGUGCACUCGAUACUGUCAAGCUAGAGUAUCGGAGAGGUUGGUGGAAUUCUCGGUGUAGAGGUGAAAUUCGUAGAUAUCGAGAGGAACACCGGUGGCGAAGGCGGCCAACUGGACGAAUACUGACGCUGAGACUCGAAAGCGUGGGGAGCAAACAGG